rnacentral:rRNA from 1 species
CACGUAGGGAGCAAGCGUUGUCCGGAUUUAUUGGGCGUAAAGAGCUCGUAGGUGGUUCGGUAAGUCAGGUGUGAAACCUCCAGGCUCAACCUGGAGAGCCACUUGAUACUGCUGUGACUGGAGUCCGGUAGGGGAGCGUGGAAUUCCUGGUGUAGCGGUGAAAUGCGCAGAUAUCAGGAGGAACACCAGCGGCGAAGGCGGCGCUCUGGGCCGGUACUGACACUGAGGAGCGAAAGCGUGGGUAGCAAACAGG